UGUUCUUCAAUUCCAUCCACAGUCAGUCUCUGCGCUAGUCCGAGAAGGAUUGUAUGGUUCCUCUUCUCCAAAGGGAAAACCACUCUGCUGUCUCUGGCCCCUCAUUUAGCCUCCCUUCAGGACCAACUGAGAAGUUGCCAAAUCUAAACUUGCAGUUUUUAACAUUCUAUCUCCUCACACGCUUGGGUUCAACAGGGAACUACAAGAGGUGGAGGACAUUACUGCAGUGUUGCAGGACUCUUUGAAUGAGAAGUAUUGGAUUCAUUCCAGGUGCUAUGACUUGUGUGACUUCCACCAGACUCUUAACGCUCCAGAGUUCCAACCUGAGGAACAGCUUGUGUGGUGUUUUCUGGACAUGGAUGAAAAUCAAAGUGGUUGCCAAGCCCAAGAAGGACAAGAGGCAAACUACCCAGUGGAACUACAAGAGGUGGAGGACAUUACUGCAGUGUUGCAGGACUCUUUGAAUGAGAAGUAUUGGAUUCAUUCCAGGUGCUAUGACUUGUGUGACUUCCACCAGA